GGGUUGUGAGGUUAAGCGACUAAGCGUACACGGUGGAUGCCCUGGCAGUCAGAGGCGAUGAAGGACGUGCUAAUCUGCGAUAAGCGUCGGUAAGGUGAUAUGAACCGUUAUAACCGGCGAUUUCCGAAUGGGGAAACCCAGUGUGAUUCGUCACACUAUCAUUAACUGAAUCCAUAGGUUAAUGAGGCGAACCGGGGGAACUGAAACAUCUAAGUACCCCGAGGAAAAGAAAUCAACCGAGAUUCCCCCAGUAGCGGCGAGCGAACGGGGAGCAGCCCAGAGCCUGAAUCAGUGUGUGUGUUAGUGGAAGCGUCUGGAAAGGCGCGCGAUACAGGGUGACAGCCCCGUACACAAAAAUGCACAUGCUGUGAGCUCGAUGAGUAGGGCGGGACACGUGGUAUCCUGUCUGAAUAUGGGGGGACCAUCCUCCAAGGCUAAAUACUCCUGACUGACCGAUAGUGAACCAGUACCGUGAGGGAAAGGCGAAAAGAACCCCGGCGAGGGGAGUGAAAAAGAACCUGAAACCGUGUACGUACAAGCAGUGGGAGCACAGAGCAAUCUGUGUGACUGCGUACCUUUUGUAUAAUGGGUCAGCGACUUAUAUUCUGUAGCAAGGUUAACCGAAUAGGGGAGCCGAAGGGAAACCGAGUCUUAACUGGGCGUUAAGUUGCAGGGUAUAGACCCGAAACCCGGUGAUCUAGCCAUGGGCAGGUUGAAGGUUGGGUAACACUAACUGGAGGACCGAACCGACUAAUGUUGAAAAAUUAGCGGAUGACUUGUGGCUGGGGGUGAAAGGCCAAUCAAACCGGGAGAUAGCUGGUUCUCCCCGAAAGCUAUUUAGGUAGCGCCUCGUGAAUUCAUCUCCGGGGGUAGAGCACUGUUUCGGCAAGGGGGUCAUCCCGACUUACCAACCCGAUGCAAACUGCGAAUACCGGAGAAUGUUAUCACGGGAGACACACGGCGGGUGCUAACGUCCGUCGUGAAGAGGGAAACAACCCAGACCGCCAGCUAAGGUCCCAAAGUCAUGGUUAAGUGGGAAACGAUGUGGGAAGGCCCAGACAGCCAGGAUGUUGGCUUAGAAGCAGCCAUCAUUUAAAGAAAGCGUAAUAGCUCACUGGUCGAGUCGGCCUGCGCGGAAGAUGUAACGGGGCUAAACCAUGCACCGAAGCUGCGGCAGCGACGCUUAUGCGUUGUUGGGUAGGGGAGCGUUCUGUAAGCCUGUGAAGGUGUGCUGUGAGGCAUGCUGGAGGUAUCAGAAGUGCGAAUGCUGACAUAAGUAACGAUAAAGCGGGUGAAAAGCCCGCUCGCCGGAAGACCAAGGGUUCCUGUCCAACGUUAAUCGGGGCAGGGUGAGUCGACCCCUAAGGCGAGGCCGAAAGGCGUAGUCGAUGGGAAACAGGUUAAUAUUCCUGUACUUGGUGUUACUGCGAAGGGGGGACGGAGAAGGCUAUGUUGGCCGGGCGACGGUUGUCCCGGUUUAAGCGUGUAGGCUGGUUUUCCAGGCAAAUCCGGAAAAUCAAGGCUGAGGCGUGAUGACGAGGCACUACGGUGCUGAAGCAACAAAUGCCCUGCUUCCAGGAAAAGCCUCUAAGCAUCAGGUAACAUCAAAUCGUACCCCAAACCGACACAGGUGGUCAGGUAGAGAAUACCAAGGCGCUUGAGAGAACUCGGGUGAAGGAACUAGGCAAAAUGGUGCCGUAACUUCGGGAGAAGGCACGCUGAUAUGUAGGUGAAGCGACUUGCUCGUGGAGCUGAAAUCAGUCGAAGAUACCAGCUGGCUGCAACUGUUUAUUAAAAACACAGCACUGUGCAAACACGAAAGUGGACGUAUACGGUGUGACGCCUGCCCGGUGCCGGAAGGUUAAUUGAUGGGGUCAGCGCAAGCGAAGCUCUUGAUCGAAGCCCCGGUAAACGGCGGCCGUAACUAUAACGGUCCUAAGGUAGCGAAAUUCCUUGUCGGGUAAGUUCCGACCUGCACGAAUGGCGUAAUGAUGGCCAGGCUGUCUCCACCCGAGACUCAGUGAAAUUGAACUCGCUGUGAAGAUGCAGUGUACCCGCGGCAAGACGGAAAGACCCCGUGAACCUUUACUAUAGCUUGACACUGAACAUUGAGCCUUGAUGUGUAGGAUAGGUGGGAGGCUUAGAAGUGUGGACGCCAGUCUGCAUGGAGCCGACCUUGAAAUACCACCCUUUAAUGUUUGAUGUUCUAACGUUGACCCGUAAUCCGGGUUGCGGACAGUGUCUGGUGGGUAGUUUGACUGGGGCGGUCUCCUCCUAAAGAGUAACGGAGGAGCACGAAGGUUGGCUAAUCCUGGUCGGACAUCAGGAGGUUAGUGCAAUGGCAUAAGCCAGCUUGACUGCGAGCGUGACGGCGCGAGCAGGUGCGAAAGCAGGUCAUAGUGAUCCGGUGGUUCUGAAUGGAAGGGCCAUCGCUCAACGGAUAAAAGGUACUCCGGGGAUAACAGGCUGAUACCGCCCAAGAGUUCAUAUCGACGGCGGUGUUUGGCACCUCGAUGUCGGCUCAUCACAUCCUGGGGCUGAAGUAGGUCCCAAGGGUAUGGCUGUUCGCCAUUUAAAGUGGUACGCGAGCUGGGUUUAGAACGUCGUGAGACAGUUCGGUCCCUAUCUGCCGUGGGCGCUGGAGAACUGAGGGGGGCUGCUCCUAGUACGAGAGGACCGGAGUGGACGCAUCACUGGUGUUCGGGUUGUCAUGCCAAUGGCACUGCCCGGUAGCUAAAUGCGGAAGAGAUAAGUGCUGAAAGCAUCUAAGCACGAAACUUGCCCCGAGAUGAGUUCUCCCUGACCCUUUAAGGGUCCUGAAGGAACGUUGAAGACGACGACGUUGAUAGGCCGGGUGUGUAAGCGCAGCGAUGCGUUGAGCUAACCGGUACUAAUGAACCGUGAGGCUUAACCUUACAACGCCGAAGGUGUUU
rnacentral:rRNA from 1 species